rnacentral:rRNA from 1 species
UACGAAGGGGGCUAGCGUUGUUCGGAAUUACUGGGCGUAAAGCGUGCGCAGGCGGCUUCUCAAGUCAGGGGUGAAAGCCCAGAGCUCAACUCUGGAAUUGCCUUUGAGACUGAGUGGCUUGAGUACGAGAGAGGUGAGUGGAAUUCCCAGUGUAGAGGUGAAAUUCGUAGAUAUCUGGAAGAACACCAAAGGCGAAGGCAGUGUCCUGGGUGGUCGCUGACGCUGAGAGGCGAAAGCCAGGGGAGCGAACGGG